rnacentral:rRNA from 1 species
AUACGGAGGAUCCAAGCGUUAUCCGGAAUCAUUGGGUUUAAAGGGUCCGUAGGCGGGUUUGCAAGUCAGUGGUGAAAGUUUUCGGCUCAACCGGAAAAUUGCCAUUGAUACUGCAGGUCUUGAAUUAUUGUGAAGUGACUAGAAUGUGUAGUGUAGCGGUGAAAUGCAUAGAUAUUACACAGAAUACCGAUUGCGAAGGCAGAUCACUAACAAUAUAUUGACGCUAAGGGACGAAAGCGUGGGUAGCGAACAGGAUUAGAAACCCUAGUAGUCC